rnacentral:rRNA from 1 species
GCAAGUCGAGGGGCAGCACUUCUUCGGAUGGUGGCGACCGGCGCACGGGUGCGUAACGCGUAUAGAACUUACCUUUUACAGAGGGAUAGCCUUUAGAAAUGAAGAUUAAUACCUCAUAGCAUUGAGAUUUGGCAUCAAAUUUUAAUUAAAGAUUUAUCGGUAAAAGAUGGCUAUGCGUCCUAUUAGCUAGAUGGUGAGGUAACGGCUCACCAUGGCAACGAUAGGUAGGGGUCCUGAGAGGGAAAUCCCCCACCCUGGUACUGAGACACGGACCAGACUCCUACGGGAGGCAGCAGUGAGGAAUAUUGGGCAAUGGAGGAAACUCUGACCCAGCCAUGCCGCGUGCAGGAAUAAGGCCCUAUGGAUUGUAAACUGCUUUUAUCCAGGAAGAAACACUCCGACGUGUCCGAGCUUGACGGUUCUGUAUGAAUAAGGACCCGGUUAACUCCGUGCCAGCAGCCGCGGUAAUACGGAGGGUCCGAGCGUUUUCCGGAAAUUAUUGGGUUUAAAGGGCCCCUAGGCGGAUGAUUAAGUCCAGGGGUGAAAAGUUUGCCGC